AUAUCAGUCAUGCAUAGCAUAUCAAUAAGCGGAGGAAAAGAAACUAACUAGGAUUCCCUCAGUAACGGCGAGUGAAGCGGGAAGAGCUCAAAUUUGAAAUCUUCAAGGUUUUACCUUGACGAAUUGUAGUUUAAAGAAGUGUUUUCUGUUGGAGUUUUGGUAAAAGUUCUUUGGAAUAGGACAUCAUAGAGGGUGAGAAUCCCGUAUUUGACCAUUAUUUCCAGCUUUGUGAUACACUUUCAAAGAGUCGGAUUGUUUGGGAAUGCAGUCCAAAAUGGGUGGUAAAUUUCAUCUAAAGCUAAAUAUUGGCGAGAGACCGAUAGCGAACAAGUACCGUGAGGGAAAGAUGAAAAGAACUUUGAAAAGAGAGUUAAACAGUACGUGAAAUUGUCAAAAGGGAAGCGUUUGACACCAGUGUUGUUUCUACGAAAAUCAAUUUAUGAUGGCUUGAUGCUAAGCUUUAAGACUUUAUCCGCUUGUUGUUUAGUUUUUCUUGUCUUUGUGAAUGCACUUUUCGUGGAACAAGUCAACAUCAAUUUCUUUUGCUGUAAAAGGGUAAGAGGAAGGUGGCUUCGGCUUCGGUUGAAGUGUUUAUAGCCUUUUAUCUCUGCAGUCGGAGAGAUUGAGGUCUGCAGCGUAGACUCUUCGGGGUUAGAUACGUCGGUGCUAAGCUAUAGCUUUUCAUAGACAACUUGUUGACUAUGUUUAGUCAUGUGGCUUACCCGCUGGCGCUAUUUUACCUACGCUUAGGAUGUUGAACUCUAUCACACACAG
rnacentral:rRNA from 1 species